AUACCUAUCUGGCAGGGGAGAUCCCAUGAUCAUAAAGGUGGUUUUUCCAGGACAAGGCUUAUCCUUUGCAUCUGGAGGUGCUGACCCCUGCAAUUUCUCCAAAUGUGGGAAACUCAACUGAAUAAUUUGUGGUAGUGGGGGACGGCAUUGGCAUUCUCACC
rnacentral:snRNA from 1 species